rnacentral:misc_RNA from 1 species
UCACGGUUUACACCGGCAGUUUCAUUAGAGUCCCCGGCAUGACCCGUUGGCAACUAAUGAUAAGGGUUGCGCUCGUUAUGGAACUUAAUCCGACACCUCACGGCACGAGCUGACGACAACCAUGCAGCACCUCGUAGACAGUCCCGAAGGAAAGACACAUUUCUGCGCCAGUCUAUCUACGUUCAAACCCAGGUAAGGUUCCUCGCGUAUCAUCGAAUUAAACCACAUGUUCCUCCGCUUGUGCGGGCCCCCGUCAAUUCCUUUGAGUUUCAUCGUUGCCGACGUACUCCCCAGGUGGAUUACUUAAUGCUUUCGCUUAGACGCGUACGAUAUAUUGCACACAUCGAGUAAUCAUCGUUUACGGCGUGGACUAC